rnacentral:lncRNA from 1 species
UCAUCUCUUCAUCAAAGUAAGCCCUUUGCAUCUUUGGAUCCUCCAUGUUUAGUAACAUCUCCACCUUUGUAGAAUCUUGUAAGAUCCUUGUUGGAAGACAUUUUUCAUCAUCAUGGGUUUGCGAUGCGGAAUAAAAGGGAGAAGCCGAUCAAUAAAGCCUAACAUACAGUGGAAAUUUUGACAGUCUAAGAAUGACCCUAGAGCUGGUCAAGACCUUCAUAAGGACUCCAAAAAGUCUCCUGCCAAGUUUCGUAGCAUUUGGACAUGUCUAAGGCAGUGUAGACUGAGAAAUAG